GAGAGGGACGAGCUAGCACCGGUUGGCCUCCCCGUCGCCGCCGAGUUGCUCGCCGCCCGUCGCCGUCGCUAUGCCGUCGGGAGGGAGAUUCAAGAGAGCGAGCACGGAGUUGAGGGAGCAGAAGGGACCGCGCCACCAUCGCGGAGAGUGAGAGAGGCGUCGCUGAGCCUGAGUCGCUGCUGGAAGAUCUUCGUGCUUCAUCAUCACCGUUUGCCUUCCAUCUAGCCCGAACCACCGUGCAAGGGGGAAAUCACCGCCACUGCGCCACGCGUCGCCGCCGACCUGCCUCGAAGCUGCCGUCGCGGAUCAGAUCUGAGGCGAGAGAGAGAGAGACACGAAGGAGGGAACCGUGCGCUGCCAUCGCGCCUAGUCACGCCCUCACCGCGAAGCCAUCACCGCCGAACUGUCUUUGAUGAUGGAGGUUCCGUUGCCGAGCUGUUGAGUCGCCGCUGCCGCCGUUGGGUUCGCCGGGAGUGUGAGCCCGAACGGGAAUGAGAAAGAACAGGAAGGUGGCCACCGUGGGUGUCACUGUCGGAGGAGGAAAAGGACGUUCCGCUGUGUACCGUCGUUCCGGGAACCACCGCUGCCUCUACCGCCGAAUAACGCACUGUCAUUGCUAUCAUCGGAGCCUGGGGCUGUUGUCGUCACUUGAGGUAGCUGCCGGAGCAUCUGCCCCUCCAUUGCGGCAUUUUUCUUUAACUGUGAAACUGUAUGAUUAAAAUAGAGGCUGUUGCGGUGUCGACCUUCUUCGUUUCUCGUGGUUGCUGCCGCGAGUUAAGACUAAAAAGGGACCCUUGACGCGUUAACUCUUAAAGGUUUCGACUUUUGAGUUUUACCCUUUUCAGGUACCGGAUGAAGAAGCAUUAAGAAGAGAUAUACUACGUUUGUUUUUAUAAGAUGU